AACGAACGCUGGCGGCAUGCCUAACACAUGCAAGUCGAACGAAGCCUUCGGGCUUAGUGGCGCACGGGUGCGUAACGCGUGGGAAUCUGCCCCUUGCUUCGGAAUAACAGUUAGAAAUGACUGCUAAUACCGGAUGAAGUCUUCGGACCAAAGAUUUAUCGGCAAGGGAUGAGCCCGCGUAGGAUUAGGUAGUUGGUGGGGUAAAGGCCUACCAAGCCGACGAUCCUUAGCUGGUCUGAGAGGAUGAUCAGCCACACUGGGACUGAGACACGGCCCAGACUCCUACGGGAGGCAGCAGUGGGGAAUAUUGGAUAAUGGACGCAAGUCUGAUCCAGCAAUGCCGCGUGAGUGAUGAAGGCCUUAGGGUUGUAAAGCUCUUUUACCAGGGAUGAUAAUGACAGUACCUGGAGAAUAAGCUCCGGCUAACUCCGUG
rnacentral:rRNA from 1 species